UGGCUUCGUGGAAAUGGGGCGAAAUGGACCCUAUGCUCUUUCUAUUUGUUGUAAAAUAUUUUUAAAUUCAUUUCUAUACUAAAUGGAAUUUAUAUGAAUUUUAGAGCACUUAAAAUGCAUGACUUGUGUAUUAUGAAAAAUUUUACUAUAUAGUAGAGCUAUAUGAGUAGAAUGCAUGCAUACGGGAAAAGUAUUUAUUUUGCAAGUGGAAAAUACAUCUCUUAUGAGGAUUAUGACUUGGAAUAUGUACUUUGGAACAUAGUUGCCAUGCUCUGACAUAGAGAACAAGAGUGUCAUCAAGGAGCACUUGAAACUAGUAAACUAUGAAACUGCAACAUAGAGACAUAUUGAUAGGCCACUACUUAUCCGCUACAUUCCAUGUUAGAGACAUGAUGACAUAGGGAUAGGCCGUUGAGAUACUUGACACAUUCCAUGUUAUUAGACAUGAGGACUUGGUACUUGCGACAGAUCGUUUGCCUACUUGCCAUUGUGCUCAUUCGCACAUGCUUGUGAGGGUCGCUCCCUACAAGCCGGCACUCCGGAGAUAGCCAUCGCGACACAUAUUCGCCGUGCGGGAUUGGGCGCCGAAGUGGAUUGCCGUGGGCCAGGCUCAUUCCUAGGGUGGGGAUGAUGACUACCACGGGGCCAUUAGGCUCGGCACCGGCCAGACAGCCUACGGGUGGGUCUCAGGGCCAUAGACAGCCUUCGGGUGGGUCUCUUCAGAUUUGACUUUGAGUAUUCAUUAUGACAUGUGGACAGAUGAUGACUUAGUGUACUACUUGGACAUUGACUAGAAUAGUAAACAACGGAACUUUACUAUUUCGCAUUGUGAACAUUAUGAUAGUUGGAGACUUUUACUUCAUGCAUAGUUGCUUCAUACUUAUGCUAAUUAUGCUAAGUAGAGAUAUCAUGUUGUAGUAAGUUACAUUUUUACUUACCUUUCGCUUUUUCUACUUUUAUAGUCACUGACAUCUUUUGUAGCUUUGGGCCUCGUGGUGCAUUCACUGAAGUCAGUAAUUGCCCACUGGGAACUAUUUUUAAUAGUUGUCACGCUCUUGUUUUAUGGUUUACUUUUCAGAGCCUUCCGUACCGACGGAUGCACGGGAUCGCGGCAAGGGGAUUGCUUAGCUAGCUAGCGAGGAGCGGUACUUUGCCUAGGUGGUUUACUCUCUUUUUGUAGUUGAGAGAGAGUGAGAGGUUUUUCGUAUCCAUGUAUAGAGACUACCUAUGUAUCUACCUAUAGCACUUGUAUCUGGGAUUUCCUUGUAUCACUUUAUGUUUUAUUCAGUGGAUUCACAGUUUUAUCCUUAUCCCUUGUUGUAGCAUUUAGACAUUUGUUAUGCUCUGAUACUCCUAGAUGUCUUUUAUUAUUGCUUUUAUUAUUGUUGUUUUUAGACGCCUUAUAUGUUUUAGACGUAUGGCGGGUCUGGGAACGUGCCGGGCGGGCUUCCGCUGGGUCCCGGGGCGUGACAUCCUUGCUUCUUCUUCUUCUUCUCCAAGCCCUAAAGCUAGGGUUCUAGAGAGAGAGAAAGAGAGAAAAUGAGAAAGGGGGAGGGAAAUGGCUGCGGGAGAGAGGGGGACAACUAUAUAAAGUGUUGUGACAAUUGCACUUAAGCCCCUCCACUUGUUUCAUAGUGCACUGCCCAGACUGGGCGAUUUUCGCUGUCGGGGACCGCUCUCCCCGACCAGGGACCGGUUCCCGAACGAUGGGUUCCUAGGACUUAGCCAAAUUUUCGGAUUUUUUGGCUCGCUGUGCAGCGAGGGACCGGUCUCUCCUUCAGGGACCAGUCUCCUGAGGACCAGUCUCACUGCCAGGGACCGGAUGCCUCAGGAUUCCUAACAGGCUACGCGUACGGGGACCGGUCUCUCCUUCAGGGACCGGUCCACGAGAGCACAAAAUCUGGGACUUAGCCAGAUUUUGGGAUUUCACUCUCUCGGGUCCCUUUGCCCUAUUGAUAGGCUCCAAUGCACUUAGGGCCUCUACUCACUCGUUCCACUCCGUGUUCCGCUCGUUUCGACAGAACUCGGCACAAUUUACGAGGGAUGUGGUAUGUUACACUAUUCCCUGCAUAAAGAAGUUAAACUUUAGAGAAUUAGACUUCUAGAGGUUAUAAUACUAUAGAGAAAUCUAUAGUAUGUUGUAAAUUGUAUAGUAUGUAUGUAUGUAUAUACAUUAGAUGUAUAUGUGCAUAGUGUUAAGAAGGAAAAACUGAACUAAGUUAGUUACAAAUUCUGAAUUAGAAUGGGAGUAAUUGCUAUAAAGAGAUGAAAUCAGGAAAUUGCUAGAGUCUCAACUUGUUAUGAAACCUAUAGAAUUAACUAUAUGUAUGUGUAUAUUGAAACUAUGCAUACAAGUUGGGGUUAAAUGCAAAGUUUGUAAAGAUGUGAAUAUGACUUAAAUUUAAUCCCUUUUAUUCCUCUUUGAAGGAAAGUGUGGCGGCUCGGAAGCUUAGAUUGAUAUUCCGAUGGACCUAUGACGCUCUAAUUAAAAAACACAACGUUCUAUCUUCGGUUGCAUAGAGUCGCGGGGGCUAGGUGUUUGCACAUUCCGAAACGUUAAUUCUAGCUUUUCAGCAUUGUCACGCCCCGCCCGGAAUCCACUACCAAUUUGGCACGGUUCGGGCGCGCCGGACGGACCGCCGAACGGACAGCACCUCUCCUGUCCGCCCAAGGCCAAGCAACCAGAUCAUGUACAGUUAAGCGCCCAGGGAAUGCUUAAAUAACAUACAUGAUCGAUACGAUGCACACAAGUGCACUAUAACUAAGAGCAAGAACCAUAAGUGAAUGUACAAGUGUAUAAAGAGAGAUAGUCUAACUAUUACAACCAUUCAACAUUUACAUAGUUGAUUACAUUUCCAUCUUCCAAAAUGUAAAUACAUGUUUUCCUCAAAAUACAAGUAGCUCUCCAAUAACUAUCCAAAACAUCAUCUAGUACACGAGGGUACUCUAAUGCAUAAAGGAAAAGCUACUAACUAGGCUCACUUAGGGCGCUAUGCCCUUGCCGUAGUCCUCGCUCGGCUCGCGUCUGUGUGUACCUGUACCCCAAAACCACACGGGGUGAGAACUAUAUAAAUAUAGUUCCCAGUGGGUUCGGCCGCCGACGCCGCCGGUUUUCCCACUAGGUCUAAGCUGGCACAGAUAGAGAGAUAGAUAGAUAUAUAAAAAUGAACUACAACUACUCUAUCAUGCCAUCAAUGAUGAUAAUGCAUGCAACAACUACUAUCAUGCUAGAAUCAUGUCAUGAGUAUAUAAAAGUAUAUAGCAAUGCAAUCUACAACAUACACUAUGUCUACACGAGGUAAUAAUGCAAGUCUAUUAUGCAUCUCAUGUUUAUUACCCAAUCUACUUGGUUAACCCGUAGGUUAAACCCUCGACUCACUCUCAAUCUCAUAAGUGAGGAGAAGCUGCACUCGCACACCGAGAUCGUCUGCGGGACAACCCUGUGAGAUACUCCGGAGACUCAUGCUUCGGUGGAGCGACCACCGACAAGCAAAACAGACUAGUGAGUAUGAUCCAAUCCUCUCAAGAGGAUACCCUGUCUACUAGGGUCAAUGUGCCUCUGCUGCACAACCAUGAUAUAUAUAUAAUCAAUGUUGGGACCUCUACUAUCCCUAGGUUCAUGUCAAGUUUACUAUACUAGACUCGAUGCCACUCGUUCAGUCACUGUAGUAAAUGUCUCAAUUAUUCUACAUGCCCCUCGUUCAUGUCAUAGUGCUUCUACCACACUAGUUCAAUGCCACUCUACUAGGCUAUGUCCAAGUUCGGCUCUUUAUACCGCUAUAGGAUUCUAUGUCACAAGACCCAAUCCUCAUGCUAUCCUAGUCGAUGUGUCAAGCACACCUCGCUACACUACCAAGAAAGCAUGCAAGGAAAUGGAAAUGUACAACUACUAUUCCUAUAGCGCAAUAUGAUCAACAUAAUUAACUUAGACAUAAAAAGAAACCCGGUUGCUUCGGGAUGACACCCCCUACCUCUUGGUGAUGUCUUGAAGCUACGAUUCCGUUUCCAAGAUUUUUGGAAGCUUUCGCUGCGUGCUGUGGCAAUCUGUACCCUAGCGGCUUAGAUCUUCGAUAUCUCUGCGUACACUCAUCGGAUUGCCGAACCGAGCGCAAUUAAUCAUGCAAUUAAUGAGGGUCAAAUGAGAUCAAUCCUCUACUUUUCCAAAAACCCUCUUUUGGAUGCCCUAGAAGCCCAAUAUUGCAAAAUGACAUCUACUAGCAAUUAAUCAUGCAAUUAAUGAGUUCAUCCACUUCUAGAGAUCCACUAGAGUCCAUCUAGCUAGGUUCUAAGAGAUCAAAGCGAACCCUAGCACAUCUACCAUGAGAGGGUGUUGAAGCUUAUCUCUAUGCUAGCUUAAAAGAGAGAAGAGAGGAAGAGGGAGAAGUCCAAAAGCAUCCCUUUCUUGAUCUCCUUCUUCUUUUCCUUCUCUUUUCUUCUUCUUCUUCUCUUUUGUUCUUUCCC
rnacentral:lncRNA from 1 species